GACGAACGCUGGCGGCGUGCUUAACACAUGCAAGUCGAACGAAGUGGCGAACGGGUGAGUAACGCGUAAUCAACCUGCCCUUCAGCGGGGGACAACAGUUGGAAACGACUGCUAAUACCGCAUACUGAAGGAGGGGCUUGCGUCUGAUUAGCUAGUUGGAGGGGUAACGGCCCACCAAGGCGAUGAUCAGUAGACGGUGUGGAGAGAUGAAAAGCCAAAAUGGGACUGAGACACGGCCCAGACUCCUACGGGAGGCAGCAGUGGGAAAUCAUCCGCAAUGGAGGAAAAGCUGACGGAGCAACGCCGCGUGAGUGGUAAAGGCCUUCGGGUUGUAAAGCUCUGUUAAUCGGGACGCGGUACCGGAAUAGAAAGCAACGGCUAACUACGUGCCAGCAGCCGCGGUAAUAC
rnacentral:rRNA from 1 species